AUUGAACGCUGGCGGCAUGCCUUACACAUGCAAGUCGAACGGUAACAGGUCUUCGGAUGCUGACGAGUGGCGAACGGGUGAGUAAUACAUCGGAACGUGCCCGAUCGUGGGGGAUAACGGAGCGAAAGCUUUGCUAAUACCGCAUAAGAUCUACGGAUGAAAGCAGGGGACCGCAAGGCCUUGCGCGAACGGAGCGGCCGAUGGCAGAUUAGGUAGUUGGUGGGAUAAAAGCUUACCAAGCCGACGAUCUGUAGCUGGUCUGAGAGGACGACCAGCCACACUGGGACUGAGACACGGCCCAGACUCCUACGGGAGGCAGCAGUGGGGAAUUUUGGACAAUGGGCGCAAGCCUGAUCCAGCCAUGCCGCGUGCAGGAUGAAGGCCUUCGGGUUGUAAACUGCUUUUGUACGGAACGAAAAGACUCUUUCUAAUAAAGAGGGUCCAUGACGGUACCGUAAGAAUAAGCACCGGCUAACUACGUGCCAGCAGCCGCAGUAA
rnacentral:rRNA from 1 species